GAACGCUGGCGGCAUGCCUUACACAUGCAAGUCGAACGGUAACAGGUUAAGCUGACGAGUGGCGAACGGGUGAGUAAUAUAUCGGAACGUGCCCAAUCGUGGGGGAUAACGCAGCGAAAGUUGUGCUAAUACCGCAUAAGAUCUACGGAUGAAAGCGGGGGAUCGCAAGACCUCGCGCGAAUGGAGCGGCCGAUAUCAGGUUAGCUAGUUGGUGGGGUAAAAGCCCACCAAGGCGACGAUCUGUAGCUGGUCUGAGAGGACGACCAGCCACACUGGGACUGAGACACGGCCCAGACUCCUACGGGAGGCAGCAGUGGGGAAUUUUGGACAAUGGACGCAAGUCUGAUCCAGCAAUGCCGCGUGCAGGAUGAAGGC
rnacentral:rRNA from 1 species